UUCAGGUACAGUAUGGAAGUGCUGGAUGAUUGGAGAAGAUGCCCAUUAUUCUCGUUUCCCUCGUAAAAUAUUGAGGCCAGCAGCAAGGAGAACAGGACAAUGCAGUGACCUUCCAUUUUUCUUCCCGGAGAAGGCCAUCUGGCGGAGUGGACGACACAGCAAACCACAGCAAUGUCUUCAGAGAUUUCCUUGGAAUUUGCUACAGGCAUGUUGAGAAAGCCAAGGGCUUGCUGUGAAGAUUUGAGGCGGGGGGGGGGGGACUCCAGCAAACAUUUCUGAAAUUUCUUAAAAACAUGUCUGAUAAUAGUUAUAUCUUCCUGCAGUUGUAUGGAAUUAAAAGGAUUGUCUUUUUUCCAGUA